GACGAACGCUGGCGGCGUGCUUAACACAUGCAAGUCGAACGGAAAGGCCCUGCUUUUGUGGGGUGCUCGAGUGGCGAACGGGUGAGUAACACGUGAGUAACCUGCCCUUGACUUUGGGAUAACUUCAGGAAACUGGGGCUAAUACCGGAUAGAAGCUCCUGCUGCAUGGUGGGGGUUGGAAAUUUUCGGCGGUUGGGGAUGGACUCGCUGCUUAUCAGCUUGUUUGUUGGGUAGUGGCUUACCAAGGCUUUGACGGGUAGACGGCAUGUGAGGGUGAACGGCAACAAUGGGACUGAGAGACGGAGCAGAAGGGAACGGGAGGCAGCAGUGGGGAAUAUUGCACAAUGGGAGGAAGGAUGAUGAAGAAAAGCGGCGUGCGGGAUGACGGCCUUCGGGUUGUAAAACGCAUUAGAAUGUGACGAAGCGUGAGUGACGGUAAUGGGUAAAGAAGCACCGGCUAACUACGUG
rnacentral:rRNA from 1 species